GUAGGGAAUAUUGGGCAAUGGAGGCAACUCUGACCCAGCCAUGCCGCGUGCAGGAAGACGGUCCUCUGGAUUGUAAACUGCUUUUGAAUGGGAAGAAACGUAGCUUUGCGAAGCUAUUUGACGGUACUAUUAGAAUAAGCACCGGCUAACUCCGUGCCAGCAGCCGCGGUAAUACGGAGGGUGCAAGCGUUAUCCGGAUUUAUUGGGUUUAAAGGGUGCGUAGGCGGCUUUAUAAGUCUGGGGUUAAAGGCGGCAGCUUAACUGUACGCAUGCACUGGAAACUGUGAAGGUUGAGUGACUUGGAGGUAGCUAGAAUUCCCUGUGUAGCGGUGAAAUGCAUAGAUACGGGGAGGAAUACCGAUUGCGAAGGCAUGUUACUACGAGUAAACUGACGCUGAUGCACGAAAGCGUGGGGAUCAAACAGGAUUAGAAACCCCAGUAGUCC
rnacentral:rRNA from 1 species